UACGUAGGGUGCAAGCGUUGUCCGGAAUUAUUGGGCGUAAAGAGCUCGUAGGCGGUCUGUCGCGUCUGCUGUGAAAACUCAGGGCUUAACCCUGAGCUUGCAGUGGGUACGGGCAGACUAGAGUGCGGUAGGGGAGAUUGGAAUUCCUGGUGUAGCGGUGGAAUGCGCAGAUAUCAGGAGGAACACCAAUGGCGAAGGCAGAUCUCUGGGCCGUAACUGACGCUGAGGAGCGAAAGCAUGGGGAGCGAACAGG
rnacentral:rRNA from 1 species